UGUCAUACCAUUUUCUCUCAUUAGGGUCAAUGAAAGAUCACCCACAGCAGCAGCCAGGCAUGUUGUCUCGUGUGACUGGAGGUAUCUUCAGUGUUACAAAGGGAGCUGUUGGUGCCACCAUUGGUGGUGUGGCUUGGAUUGGUGGAAAGAGUCUGGAAGUGACCAAAACAGCUGUUACAACUGUGCCUUCCAUGGGAAUAGGGCUGGUGAAAGGAGGUGUGUCUGCUGUGGCUGGAGGUGUGACAGCGGUUGGGUCUGCUGUUGUAAACAAAGUGCCCUUAUCAGGAAAGAAGAAAGACAAGUCUGAUUGAGAGAGGAGUACACUUGCUCUCCACAGCAUAUGAUGCCAGUGGCAUUGAACAGCUCAAUUACAGACUACAACCAAGUCAACCGCUAAACUGCUGUGUUGAAAGUAUUGGUGACUGGCUGCAUCUAAACCAGGAGGAGACCAAUGCUACCACAGUGUAUGAAGGCUUCUCAUCCUUAAGUUCAGCUUUUUAUCUGGUAAAAUGUUACACUUGCUCAGUUGUAACUGAAGAUAUGGUAUGUUUAAAUAUUUGCUCUAAGUCUUUCAGUUUGACUAAAAAAUGUGAAAGUUCAACUUAGUAGAUGAUUUUACAGUCCCAUGUGUACAGUGUGCCAGGUAACUCAUCUGACCCUUACAAAGGGACUCGAACUACAUAAACUGU
rnacentral:lncRNA from 1 species